AUUUAAUAAUGGCCAAAUCUCAAACAUUGAGAACGGAGGACCCAAUAUAUUGGGGUUAAUUCUGAAAUACAGAAAGGAUGAGAAACUCUUUCGCCAUCCUACCCGUCAGCUAACUUCGUCGGCUAAAGCGAAGGAGGUC
rnacentral:sRNA from 15 species